CUGGUGCAACUUUGGGUGACAGUAGUUUCCUUUCUAGCUCUGAACUGAAGGAACUACAGAAGAAAGGUCCUUUGAAAAAAAGCUUGUAAAGACAUCCUAGAGAUUUGACAUGGUAGCUGAAUCACACCUUGGUAUUCCUGCAGAUGGCAGUGGUACAUGUUCUUGACAUGGGACACCUCCAAAAGUUACGCUGUUUGCUUUCUGAAAAGUGGUGAAGUUACAGCUCUUGCUGUAGUAAGAAAUAUUUUCUUGGAGUUCCGCUUUAGGACUUACAGCAGAUUGUAUGACUGCGUGCCUAACACCAGCCAAAAAAGUGCCUUCCUGAAGAUACAUCCAAAAGGAAAAGUAGGAACUCUGAUAUGGGUAAAGGCUGUCUGAAAGGAGAGAAGCAGCGAGAACCAAAUCUGAGCAAGGUAUUUGGGACACUGAAAUCUAGACUAAAGACAAACACAGGCUAUCCAAAGUUGUGCUGUACAUAUGCUAAAUACCAGCUGCUUUCUCACAGUAUUUUUGAUAAGGACAGCUAAAUAAGGGCAUGGAGAAGUGCAAGGCUGUUUUAACUAUCCUUUUAUAUGUCUUUAGAUAUGUAUUUUUUUAAUCUUAAUAUUUAAGUAUAUAACUGUAUGUGUAUAACUUCUGGGGCUACAUCUGGGAUUUAAAUUGGACAUGCCUUUUUAGGUUUGAGUUUGUUCACUGGGUGGAUCUUUCCAAAGAGAGCUAAUGCCACUGUUAAUUAAAGAGCUCAUCAGUCCUGUGUGACAAUCUCAGCUUUUAGUAACAGCAGCAGGAAUUAAUAUUGUCAUCUUAGCUGUUCUGAUGCUGGUUUAAAAUAAAAGGCUGAAAUAUUAA